GAGGAACUUAUUGCUGGGGGGCAGUGUAACGAUGGUUAAGUGUUAUUGUACAGUGACAUGUUGGUUAUCUCUGCACACUGUUGUUGUUCCUUUAAGAUUCAUGUUUGGUUGUGCUGCAGGAAGUAGGGAGGGUGGUGUACAGGAAGGGGAGGGGGGACCUGGUUGUUCUGUGUGUGUGUGCCAGGCUGAAGAGAGGUGUAGUACGAGGGCGCUCUCCCCUGAGUUAGCAACCCGCUUGCUUAUGUGCCGAAUAAACGGACAAACUGAGACCCAACCGUCUGGUUCUUGUGAAUGUUACAUUACUUUCUACACCAGGAUCUUUUUCUACGUAGCUGACGCUGGUAACUGUGCAGGGGCGGAUCUAGCAAAGUUUAGCCAGGGGGGCCGAUAGGGCAUUAACAGGGAAAAGGGGGCACAAAGACAUACUUUUCUUUUUUUUUUUUUUUUUUCUUUCUUUUUUUUUUCUUUUUUUUUUUGUGUCCCGUUUGGAUCUUUAGCCAUCAGAAUUGUUGUCUUAAGGCCAAGAAAGAUGCCAAGCGGAUUUAUUUUACCAAGUGGAUCAUCAUGGCCUUGCCAUAUUGGUCCAUUUGAUUGACCUUUAUUAUAAUUAUGAAUUUAUUUUAUUUUCGGUUGCUACAAACGGGACAGACAUGACUGGGGGAUAGGACAGGGAGAAAGAAUGAAAGAAAGAGAGGGAGAGAAAGAAAACCAAAGGGGAGAAGAGAGAGUGAGAAGGGGGGGAAGGAAAAAAACCAAAAAAAAAAAACCAAACAAAACACCUGAGUCACCUGUAUGGAGAAGAAAAACAAAAGAGAAAGCAAACAGCAAAGAGCAACAUAAUAAAAAAAACAGCACCAUCACAAUAAACUAGCUGGAAGUAGAUAUCAGUAGAUACUAAAUAAUAAACGAUAUUUUGCAGCACGCAAGAUAGACAGCGCACAAUGUGCUUUGAGGCAGCAGCCAAGAAAGCUGUAGUCCGCGUCUGUGAAUACCCGUGUGUACACCUGUGUGCAUACCUGUGUGGAUCAGCAUGCUUGUAUUCCAAAG
ensembl:lncRNA